CUCUCUCUCUCUCUCUCUCUCUCUCUCUCUCUCACGAUUUAGUCUUCUCCAUCUUUUUUUUGUUCAACCACCGUCUUCUCCAUCUAUCCUUUGAAUUGUUAAACCUAAAAUCACAAAGUCUUCAGCCUCUUACGAUUCAACCUGUCUGGAUACAAACCUGUCUCUCUAUCUCUAUCUCUCUCACUCGGCCAUGACGAAAGCUUCGUUGACAACGUUUGACUCGAGUCAGAUUCGAGCCACAAACAGAGAUGACAAGUGACAAACAGAUAUGGCGAGUGACAAACAGAGAUGGCGGAGCAGCGCCGGUGGCAAGGUGGAAGAGGCUUCGAUGGUUCAGUUCACCGGAGACGAAUAAAGGGGGAAGUCUCAGCCUUUCUUUGCCAUGUAAUCUGAACAGGCUGCCAAGUCCCAAGCCGAGGAAGCUCAAGCCAUGGAAGAAAGCUAGUCGGAGAUGGCAGAGAUCGCAGAGAAAGCUAGCGGCGGUUGUGGUGUAGGUGAAGCCGAAUAAGAAGAAAGAGACGUAGAGCUGUAGAAAUUUUAUUAGGUUUUGUUAUUUUUUGGUUAUAUUUUUUUUUGGUUUAUUUAGGGUUGGUUAAUUAGGUUUUGGUUCUUUUUUUUGGUUUGAUGUAUAAACUGAUUUUAUUGUAAAGAAAUUUUAAUUAAUGAAUAAAAUUUAAAUUUGAAAUUUAAA